UACAGAGGGUGCAAGCGUUGUUCGGAAUUAUUGGGCGUAAAGCGCGUGUAGGCGGCUUUGCAAGUCGGGUGUGAAAGCCCUCAGCUCAACUGAGGAAGUGCGCCCGAAACUGCAGAGCUUGAGUACCGGAGAGGAUGGCGGAAUUCCCCAAGUAGAGGUGAAAUUCGUAGAUAUGGGGAGGAACACCGGUGGCGAAGGCGGCCAUCUGGACGGUCACUGACGCUGAGACGCGAAAGCGUGGGGAGCAAACAGG
rnacentral:rRNA from 1 species